rnacentral:rRNA from 1 species
AACGAACGCUGGCGGCGUGGAUAAGACAUGCAAGUCGAACGCUGAUUCGUGGAUAGCAAUAUUUGCGAGUCGGAGUGGCGCAAGGGUGCGUAACACGUGGGUAAUUUGCCGCGAAGAUCGGAAUAACCUGCUGAAAGGCGGGCUAAUGCCGAAUGUGUCUACCGGGGGGAUUCCUCUGGUAUGCAAAGUUGGGGACCGAAAGGCCUAACGCUUCGUGAUAAGCCCGCGGCCUAUCAGCUAGUUGGUGGGGUAACGGCUCACCAAGGCUAAGACGGGUAGCUGGUCUGAGAGGACGACCAGCCACACUGGAACUGAGACACGGUCCAGACACCUACGGGUGGCAGCAGUCGAGAAUUUUUCACAAUGGGCGAAAGCCUGAUGGAGCGACGCCGCGUGGGGGAUGAAGGGCUUCGGCUCGUAAACCCCUGUCAUUCGAGAACAAACCUCGCAACCUAACACGUUGCGGGCUGAUAGUAUCGGAAGAGGAAGGGACGGCUAAC